rnacentral:rRNA from 1 species
GGAUUAGAUACCCUGGUAGUCCACGCCGUAAACGAUGUCAACUAGCCGUCGGACUCAUUUGAGAGUUUGGUGGCGCAGCUAACGCGAUAAGUUGACCGCCUGGGGAGUACGGCCGCAAGGUUAAAACUCAAAGGAAUUGACGGGGGCCCGCACAAGCGGUGGAGCAUGUGGUUUAAUUCGAUGCAACGCGAAGAACCUUACCAGCCCUUGACAUCCAGUGAACUUUCUAGAGAUAGAUUGGUGCCUUCGGGAACACUGUGACAGGUGCUGCAUGGCUGUCGUCAGCUCGUGCUG